CAGUGCCCCGCGUUGCUGGCGGCCCGGUCCCAGGCAUUUCAAUUAACCUCCAGAAGAUGGCUGAACUUGCAGGAAUACCAGAGCAAGAAACUGAUGUCUGACUAUGGAGUGAAAGUUCAAAGAUUCUUUGUUGCAGACACUGCGAAUGAGGCUCUCGAGGCUGCUAAGAGACUGAAUGCAAAAGAAAUUGUUUUAAAAGCCCAGAUCUUAGCAGGAGGAAGAGGAAAAGGUGUCUUCCAUAGCGGUUUGAAAGGAGGUGUUCACUUAACAAAAGAUCCUAACGUUGUGGGACAGCUGGCUAAACAGAUGAUUGGAUAUAAUCUAGCAACCAAACAAACUCUGAAAGAAGGUGUGAAAGUUCACAAGGUGAUGGUUGCCGAGGCCUUGGACAUCGCCAGGGAAACCUACCUGGCGAUUCUGAUGGACCGGUCCUGCAACGGCCCCGUGCUGGUGGGCAGCCCCCAGGGCGGCGUGGACAUUGAGGAGGUGGCCGCCUCGAACCCAGAACUUAUCUUUAAGGAGCAAAUUGACAUUUUUGAAGGGAUAAAGGACAGUCAAGCUCAGCGGAUGGCAGAGAAUCUAGGCUUCCUUGGGCCUUUGAAAAACCAGGCUGCGGAUCAAAUUAAGAAGCUGUAUAAUCUCUUCUUGAAAGUUGACGCUACUCAGGUGGAAGUGAAUCCCUUUGGUGAAACUCCAGAAGGACAAGUUGUCUGCUUUGAUGCCAAGAUAAACUUCGAUGACAACGCAGAGUUCCGACAAAAGAAUAUCUUCGCUAUGGACGACAAGUCAGAGAAUGAGCCCAUUGAAAAUGAAGCUGCCAGAUACGAUCUGAAGUACAUAGGACUGGAUGGGAACAUUGCUUGCUUUGUGAAUGGUGCCGGGCUUGCCAUGGCUACCUGUGACAUCAUUUUCCUUAACGGUGGGAAGCCAGCCAACUUCUUGGAUCUUGGUGGCGGUGUAAAGGAAGCUCAAGUAUAUCAAGCAUUCAAAUUGCUCACAGCUGAUCCUAAGAUAACCUUUCUCUUUGUACUGAGAUUGCAUAAUGCUUGGAUUUCUCGCCAUCAAGAGCUGAUCUGA